CUGUAGGCUUGAAAGGAAUCAUAAUGGAACAAGUAAAAAUCAAACAGUGUGUAUCAUGGAGAGGUAAUGACACAUUAAUUUAAUAUGACCAAAAAAAUGCAAAGAAGGGAAACAAAAUUGAAGUAAAAAUUGUGAUUGUAAUUAUUAAACUCAACGAAAGGCAGCAAAGUGUGUCAUUGAAAGAUGAGCUAGCUGAUGAAGUUCAUUAUUCCUUUAUAAUUUUGAGACAAUUAGAAGGCAAGCUUACAGUGCAAAGAUAUUGCAAUAUUUUAUCAAUUGGCCAUAACGAAAUCAUGCGAAGGGAGGGGAAAAGUUUACCAAGGCUUCCACUUUGGAUCUUGUGCAGUAGGCUUUUGUUAAUAGCAGUAUUUUCAAGAAAUGAAUUGAACAACAAGAAUUAGAAGACAAGACUAUAAGAAAGAGGAAUAGGAAGAUAAGAAUCUGAAACUCUUUCCAGUUCUUUGCGAAAGUGGAUGGCCAAAGCA